rnacentral:tRNA from 1 species
AGUAAACAAAUUAGAGCUUGAUUAGAAAGCAUUUCAUUUACACUGAAAAUUUAACUGUGCGAUUCAGUUUAAUUUG